AGCAGCGUGGCUUAAUGGCAAAAGCCUGGACUUGGGAGUCAGAGGUCCAGGGUUCUAAUCCCAGCUCAGCCU
rnacentral:tRNA from 1 species